rnacentral:rRNA from 1 species
GCCUGCGGCCAUACCACGUUGAAUGCACCGGUUCCCAUCUGAACACCGAAGUUAAGCAACGUCGGGCCAGCUUAGUACCUGGAUGGGUGACCGCCUGGGAAUCGCUGGUGCUGCAGGCU